CCUACGGGAGGCAGCAGUGGGGAAUAUUGGGCAAUGGGCGCAAGCCUGACCCAGCAACGCCGCGUGAAGGAAGAAGGCUUUCGGGUUGUAAACUUCUUUUAAUGGGGAAGAGCAGAAGACGGUACCCCUUGAAUAAGCCACGGCUAACUACGUGCCAGCAGCCGCGGUAAUACGUAGGUGGCAAGCGUUGUCCGGAUUUACUGGGUGUAAAGGGCGUGCAGCCGGAGGGACAAGUCAGAUGUGAAAUCCACGGGCUCAACCCGUGAACUGCAUUUGAAACUGUUUCCCUUGAGUGUCGGAGAGGUAAUCGGAAUGCCUUGUGUAGCGGUGAAAUGCGUAGAUAUAAGGAAGAACACCAGUGGCGAAGGCGGAAUACUGGACGAUAACUGACGGUGAGGCGCGAAAGCGUGGGGAGCGAACAGGAUUAGAUACCCGGGUAGUC
rnacentral:rRNA from 1 species